UAUACAGAUGGGCUAUGUACAGGUGCAGUGAUCUGUGAGCUGCUCUGACAGCUGGUGCUUAAAGCUAGUGAGGGAGAUAUGAGUCUCCAGCUUCAGAGAUUUUUGCAGUUUGUUCCAGUCAUUGGCAGCAGAGAACUGGAAGGAAAGACCACCAAAGGAGGAAUUGGCUUUGGGGGUGACCAGUGAGAUAUACCUGCUGAGAUUCUCUGGUACUUUUGUGUACUUUUUAGCCAGUAGUUCUGAAAGUAACACUUUCGAGCCAAAACUGGUCUCCUAAUACGAAAGGUCGCUGGUUUGAAUUGCAGAGCCUGCAAGGUGGAAAAAUCUGCCAUUCUGCCCUUGAGCAAAGCAUUUAACCCCGAACAGCAACAAAUUCUCCCCUCUGCACUGAUGACAUGGACAUCGAUUAAGGCAGCCCCCCGCACCUCUGAUUCAGAGGGGUUGGGUUAAAUGCGGAAGACACAUUUCGGUUGAAUGCAUUCAGCUGUGCAACUGACCAGGUUUUCCCUUUCCCUCUCUCUCUCUAUGCUGUGCCCACUGAGCCGUUGUGCCCGCCCUGCAACCUCAUUGGAUAACACUGGGGCAGGCUUCUUGCUAGCUGUCACUCAAAUGCGUGGAGCUGAAGCUCAUUGGCUAAACUCAAAUUGCUAGGAGGCUGACCCACGUAAGGGAAAUGGAGGGAAAAUGGAGCAGCACAGCUUCAAGAAAACAGUCACUUUCAAACUAGGAUUUCCUGGCUAACUGAGAUAAGACAGUAGUUCUGCUCAAAGAUUAACUAAGGUAAAACAGUAGUUCUGCUCAAAGAUUAUCUGAGGUCAAACAGUAGUUCUGCUCAAAGAUUAUCUGAGGUAAAACAGUAGUUCUGCUCAAAGGUAAUCUGAGGUCAAACAGUAGUUCUGCUCAAAGAUUAACUGAGGUAAGACAGUAGUUCUGCUCAAAGAUUACCUGAGGUAAAACAGUAGUUCUGCUCAAAGAUUAACUGAGGUAAGACAGUAGUUCUGCUCAAAGAUUAACUGAGGUAAGACAGUAGUUCUGCUCAAAGAUUGUGUGUGUAUGAACAACACAUUGACACAUCCAGCCCAAAGCGGGAGGUUAAAAAAUACUUUCUUCUUUCUCCAAAGUACCGGAGUAUGUCUUUAAUAUUAUUUUGUUUAAAUAACUCACACCAAUUUAGUUUAAAUAACUCAAGGCACGCAAAUACAAACUGACAAAUGAGUACCGUACAGAUACAAGUACACAUACAGUAUAUGUGGAGACAUUUUGGUGACCUUCUAAGGUGGAUCCCCCACAACAAUACAGACCUAUAGGCAACAUAUAGAUUCCACUAUUUACGCAUAAAUAUUAUAGCUAUGUUAGAGUCAUAUUAGUAUUUUAUGUAUGGCUUAUUAAUU
rnacentral:lncRNA from 1 species